AUCGAAGAAUUAUCUAGCAAGUAAUUCGUAUGCCGCCAUAGCAUUUCAUGAUGUAGCUGGAGUACAGGAUGACCGACCCAUAAGCAUGAAUAUAAGUCUCGAAU
rnacentral:ncRNA from 1 species